GCAAAGGUACUUAAAGCCUUGCCGGCCAUCCCUGCCAUCUUCCUCCGGGUAACAAGCUGCGCACUGCAGGCGAGAAGAAGAAAAUUCCCUCAGAACUGGCAAGGUUCUUAGUCUGUCCCGGAGUCUGUAUUUCUGCCCUUCAGCUGGACCUCAGCACGAAGCUCUGGCGGAACUAGAGGAAAAAGAAAGACCUCUGAAAUCUUGCAGAUCCAUCCACUUAUAGGCUCUGCAGCUGUGAGCACAUUGGAAAUUGCUCCUGAUCCCAAGAAGCUGGUCCAGCUCAGCUUGCAGCCUCAGAAGAACUUUCGAACCUAACCUUGAGAACCUUGAUUUGACUGGUACGCAAGCCAGUUCCACACCCUGGAUCAG
rnacentral:lncRNA from 1 species